UCCGCUGAAACCUGUCCACCAUGGAUGACCCUGCUGGUAUUUGAAAUACCAGUGGCAUAGCUUUCAGCAUCACAGAACAUGACAACUGACAGUAUUACUGCCACCACAGUGUGACAACCGACAGACGGGUGGAGUGGUUCUCUGACCAGGAAAUGAACCCAGGCUGCAGAGCUGGAUUCUAGAGUAUAAAUGGAGAACAAUGAGAGAUGAAGACAGAGUGACAGGGUAAAUUAUGAUGGACCCUCAUGUGAUGACAAUGAAGCUGGAUUUUAUUUGUAAGACAUUAGGGAACAACUGGAGGAUGAAGAGAUGCAUCCAGAGCAAAGACAAGGUGCCUGCCUAUGAGGCCUGUCCUGCGCUGAAAGCUGCAGUUUGGGGUGCAUACGUGCUUCUGGCUUUCACUUCCUGAGGAUCAUUCGUUUUGAGAAAUCCGAACAAAGGUGGAGGCCGAAGCUGCACUCUCGCUACUCUCUUCUGCUUCCUGACCACCCCGGGGUUUUUUCUUGUGGCCCUGCAUGGCAUGCCCCGCCUUGCCUCUUAUCUCUA